UACGUAGGGUGCGAGCGUUGUCCGGAAUUAUUGGGCGUAAAGGGCUCGUAGGCGGUUUGUCGCGUCGAAUGUGAAAACCCGGGGCUCAACCCCGGGCCUGCAUUCGAUACGGGCAGACUAGAGUUCGGUAGGGGAGUCUGGAAUUCCUGGUGUAGCGGUGAAAUGCGCAGAUAUCAGGAAGAACACCUAUGGCGAAGGCAGCUCUCUGGGACGGUACUGACGCUGAGACGCGAAAGCGUGGGGAGCGAACAGG
rnacentral:rRNA from 1 species